rnacentral:piRNA from 1 species
UACUGAAUUGGACAGCACAGCCUUAA